CUCCCCCAACCUCCAGUGCCUCCCCGAUCCGCCACCUCCACGUGGUGGCCAGCUCCUCUGCCAGAUCGCGCCACGCGCAGCCGUACCCACUGUCCCGCCGGCGCCAGCGGCCCAACCCAGGUGGCGCUUCGACGGACCUCCUCUCGGCAAGGCCCGACGCCAACGCCGGGGAUCUCCAGGAGCGGUCGUCCCCUGCUGCGGAUCGCGCCGCCGCCGUCCCCAGCGCUUCUAUACAACCUUCGCCGACCGCCGCCACCAAUCUUCAGAUGCGCCGCCCCGGCAGAUCCGACGCGUCUCCUUGACCUCCCAGGCGAUGCCACCGGCAAAUCUAGGUUGGUGCCAUCCAUCUCCUCUCGCCCCUCGGCAAGGCUCCCCCGUCACAACGCAGCCAAGCUGCCGCAUCAAACUGGCCGUUCAACACCGCCGGCUUGGGACGUUCAAUGACGUGGCCCCAUGAUGUUCGUUGUAGCAGCGCCUGGAUCACACUGUCACCAUGCUUCACGAGGCCGAGAUAUUUCCAUUCUUCAUUCGUCGACAUUGGAUUGAACUAAGAAGUCAGGUUCGCAAGUGUCAUGUUCGGCUGUUCGCCACGGCAGCCCGGAGGUGCUCCUGCAGCCGACCAAGAACAGGGCUGGGACAGGGAUAUUUUUGUUCUCAAACACGUCGCUGCGUAUGUGUGUGUAUAUGAACAUUUUACUACAUGUUGUUCUUUACAUUCUGUCAUCUCCUAUAGAGUUUAUGAUACAUAAUGACUAUUGGAUGGAUUAUUUGUUCAUGUGAAUGAAUGCAUUUUGUCUCUCAAA